rnacentral:rRNA from 1 species
AGAGUUUGAUCCUGGCUCAGGACGAACGCUGGCGGCGUGCUUAACACAUGCAAGUCGAACGGGCUUGUUCUUUCGGGAGCAAGUUAGUGGCGAACGGGUGAGUAACACGUGGGUAAUCUGUCCUGUACUUUGGGAUAAGCCUGGGAAACUGGGUCUAAUACCGAAUAUUCACUGUCGGGGGCAUCCUUGGUGGUGGAAAGUUUUGGCGGUACAGGGUGGGCCCGCGGCCUAUCAGCUUGUUGGUGAGGUAAUGGCUUACCAAGGCGGCGACGGGUAGCCGGCCUGAGAGGGCGACCGGCCACACUGGGACUGAGACACGGCCCAGACUCCUACGGGAGGCAGCAGUGGGGAAUAUUGCACAAUGGGCGCAAGCCUGAUGCAGCGACGCCGCGUGAGGGAUGACGGCCUUCGGGUUGUAAACCUCUUUCACCAUUGACGAAGCCUUCGGGUGACGGUAGGUGGGGAAGAAGCACCGGCUAACUACGUGCCAGCCGCCGCGGUAAUAC